GUAGGUGAACCUGCGGAAGGAUCAUUACUGAGACUGGGUGCUUCGGCGCCCGACCUCCAACCCCCUGUCUACCUUACCACUGUUGCCUCGGCGUAUCUGCCCACCCCCCUAGGGGGGUGCGGUGUCUGCGCCGACGGCCAAAAACAAAAACCCUUUUUUAAACCAAGCAAUCUGAGAAAUUAUUUAAUAACUUCAAAACUUUCAACAACGGAUCUCUUGGUUCUG
rnacentral:misc_RNA from 1 species